rnacentral:tRNA from 1 species
ACUGGACUAGUAUAAAUAGUACGGGUGGAUUACGCCCACUAGGUGUCCUGGAAGGGUCGUUCGGUU